UUUAAUUUCUAUUGUGUGUUUUUAUAUGAGUAGUUUUUGUUUUUGCAUCUUCCCCAGUCCAAGCACACAUUACCAGAAAGAAGCUAGUUCAUUCGUUGUUUGUAGACAUGCUAGACAUUUGGCAGUUGAAUAUGUUUGAAUCUGAUCACGCUAGGAAACUAGGAGGAUAUGGAUACCUAUGCUUAGACUAGUUUUGAUCUGCUAGACUAUAAUACAAAUACCAAACAGGCAAAGUGUUUAACAAAAUUUAUUUACUUCCUUCUUUUAUUUAAUGGUGCACGACAUCUUACAUUGAUAUUUCAGGUUGUGAAGUUCCAAGAAGGAACAGCUUUCUGUUUUCAUUUUAAAUAUUAUGUAUGUUUCUUAAUGAAAGCGUGUGGACAAUGUACAGAUAAGUUGGAAAAAUGACACCUAAAGUUGGAUAGCAAAAACUAAGAACCACCUGUUCAAUCGGCGAAGAGAGGCUGGAAGCAGGGCAGGAGCUUUUAAUAUUGGCAAUGGCUUGAAGGAAGCUGCGAAGGAUUGGUUUGCUGGCAUAUAUAUGAGGUAUUUGCUUCUAUUAACCUGGGGGACAAGAAGUGGAUUGAGAAACUGUUUUCAGAAGAAGAGAUCCUUGCUGCCUUGAUGAGCUUUAAGAGUGAUGAAGCCCUUUACCUAAUGGCUAUUCUACAGCUUCUCUGCAGAGUUAUUGAGAACUAGUAAAACAUGAUGUUCUUCUUCUGUUGGAGUCCUUUGGGAAGGGGACUUUUAUUAAUAGUUUGAAGUUAAAUUUCUUUACCCUGAUUUGGAGACUUCUGAUGCCACCAAUAAUAAUGAUUUUUGUUGUAUAAGCAUUGUUGGAUGCAUUUACAAACUUAUUACUAUAGUUUUGUUAGGCAGGCUCAACUUGUUUAUUCUUCCUUUAAACAGUCAGUGUUGCUAAAAGAUUGAAGGCCAUCCAACAUCGGUUUUGAUGGGUUGACUCAGAUGAUCAAAGAGACUCCCUUUGGUGGCUUGGGAUGUAGUUAAACAUCCUCAUAAAAUGGAUGGACUUGGUAUCAAGUCUUUGGUGAGUUUUAACAUUUGAAAAUUUAUGACUGAACAGGACUGCUUGUGGCGGCAGGGAAUUAGGUCAAAGUAUAGGCUGGAGAAAAGGGGUUGAAAGACUAAAAGUCUAAGGGUUCAUAUGGCACUAGUCUUUGGAGGUGGAUUGGUAAGACUGGAAGGAUUUUAGGUUUAUAUAUAGUUCAAGCUCAGCAGUGGAUGAGAAUUCGGUUUUGGAUGAUACUGGAAUCUGAGGUUUACAUUUAGUUGAAGAUUUAUAUUUAUUUCUCUUAUUCAUCAUGCUACUCUGUCGGUUAUAACCUUUGAGAAUAUUUCUUAUUCUUUUGAUAGAGUGCGAAAUGUUCAGUUUUGGACCCUUUGUUUUCUGUUUAGAGGCAAUCUGCUUCAUUAGCAGAAGAUUGAGGUACAUCAUAGAUAUCUUGAUUGACUUGUAAACUCUGUCUUUGUAUCCGUACUGUGCCACCUUGGUAUUUAUAAUAAAUCCUUCUUUUUCUCUCAAAUAAUAAUAAUAAAAAUAAACACAAGAUUGACUUCUUUGUUAGUUUUAAGUUAACAAAAGAAAGAUAGCCCCAAGCUUUGAUAUAAAGAGAACAGUCAAGUAAAGCAAGGAGUUUAGCAAUUGAUAAAGCCUGCUACUUAUUUCACAUUUCGCAUAUAGACUUUUCAAAAGGUGGUAACAUCUUUUUUUGAUAGAAAAAGAAGUAUUACUGAGAAAGGUGACACAAAAUGAAUAUUAGUGCAGAUAAGUUAUCCAGCUGGGAAACGAAAUACAAUGAAACACAAAACACGGAAAACAAAACAUUAGUUAUAGAAACAGAUAACUUGUCACAAGAUCAAGGCACCCCAACUCGUAUGUAGAAUAGAAAAA